rnacentral:rRNA from 1 species
UGCAAGUCGAGCGAAUGGAUUAAGAGCUUGCUCUUAUGAAGUUAGCGGCGGACGGGUGAGUAACACGUGGGUAACCUGCCCAUAAGACUGGGAUAACUCCGGGAAACCGGGGCUAAUACCGGAUAACAUUUUGAACUGCAUGGUUCGAAAUUGAAAGGCGGCUUCGGCUGUCACUUAUGGAUGGACCCGCGUCGCAUUAGCUAGUUGGUGAGGUAACGGCUCACCAAGGCAACGAUGCGUAGCCGACCUGAGAGGGUGAUCGGCCACACUGGGACUGAGACACGGCCCAGACUCCUACGGGAGGCAGCAGUAGGGAAUCUUCCGCAAUGGACGAAAGUCUGACGGAGCAACGCCGCGUGAGUGAUGAAGGCUUUCGGGUCGUAAAACUCUGUUGUUAGGGAAGAACAAGUGCUAGUUGAAUAAGCUGGCACCUUGACGGUACCUAACCAGAAAGCCACGGCUAACUACGUGCCAGCAGCCGCGGUAAUACGUAGGUGGCAAGCGUUAUCCGGAAUUAUUGGGCGUAAAGCGCGCGCAGGUGGUUUCUUAAGUCUGAUGUGAAAGCCCACGGCUCAACCGUGGAGGGUCAUUGGAAACUGGGAGACUUGAGUGCAGAAGAGGAAAGUGGAAUUCCAUGUGUAGCGGUGAAAUGCGUAGAGAUAUGGAGGAACACCAGUGGCGAAGGCGACUUUCUGGUCUGUAACUGACACUGAGGCGCGA